GUAGGUGGCAAGCGUUGUCCGGAUUAUUGGGCGUAAAGCGCGCGCAGGUGGUCUUUAAGUCUGAUGUGAAAGCCCCGGGCUCAACCGGGGAGGGUCAUUGGAAACUGGGGAACUUGAGUGCAGGAGAGGAAAGUGGAAUUCCACGUGUAGCGGUGAAAUGCGUAGAUAUGUGGAGGAACACCAGUGGCGAAGGCGACUUUCUGGCCUGUAACUGACACUGAGGCGCGAAAGCGUGGGGAGCAAACAGGAUUAGAUACCCUGGUAGUCCACGCCGUAAACGAUGAGUGCUAAGUGUUGGGGGGUUUCCGCCCCGUCAGUGCUGCAGCUAACGCAUUAAGCACUCCGCCUGGGGAGGUACGGUCGCAAAGAACUG
rnacentral:rRNA from 1 species